rnacentral:rRNA from 1 species
GGCGAUCAGAUACCGCCCUAGUUCUGACCGUAAACGAUGCCAACUAGCGAUCCGUCGGCGGAUAUUUCGCCCUGAUGGGGAGCUUCCCGGAAACGAAAGUCUUCCGGUUCCGGGGGAAGUAUGGUUGCAAAGCUGAAACUUAAAGGAAUUGACGGAAGGGCACCACCAGGAGUGGAGCCUGCGGCUUAAUUUGACUCAACACGGGAAAACUCACCCGGCCCGGACACCGUAAGGAUUGACAGAUUGAAAGCUCUUUCUUGAUUCGGUGGUUGGUGGUGCAUGGCCGUUCUUAGUUCGUGGAGCGAUUUGUCUGGUUUAUUCCGAUAACGAGCGAGACUCUAGCUUACUAAAUAGUUUUGUCAUUGCUACUGUGGCAUAACUUCUUAGAGGGAUUUUCGGUGUUUAGCCGCACGAGAUUGAGCAAUAACAGGUCUGUGAUGCCCUUAGAUGUCCGGGGCUGCACGCGCGCUACACUGGCGAAAUCAGCGUGCUGUUUCCUAUCUCGAAAGGGAUUGGUAAACCGAUGAAAAUUUGCCGUGAUUGGGAUCGGAAAUUGCAAUUAUUUUCCGUGAACGAGGAAUUCCAAGUAAGUGCGAGUCAUCAACUCGCGUUGAUUACGUCCCUGCCCUUUGUA